rnacentral:rRNA from 1 species
CACUCCUGCGGGAGGCAGCAGUGGGGAAUUUUGGACAAUGGGCGAAAGCCUGAUCCAGCAAUGCCGCGUGUGUGAAGAAGGCCUUCGGGUUGUAAAGCACUUUUGUCCGGAAAGAAAUCCUUGGCUCUAAUACAGUCGGGGGAUGACGGUACCGGAAGAAUAAGCACCGGCUAACUACGUGCCAGCAGCCGCGGUAAUACGUAGGGUGCGAGCGUUAAUCGGAAUUACUGGGCGUAAAGCGUGCGCAGGCGGUUUGCUAAGACCGAUGUGAAAUCCCCGGGCUCAACCUGGGAACUGCAUUGGUGACUGGCAGGCUAGAGUAUGGCAGAGGGGGGUAGAAUUCCACGUGUAGCAGUGAAAUGCGUAGAGAUGUGGAGGAAUACCGAUGGCGAAGGCAGCCCCCUGGGCCAAUACUGACGCUCAUGCACGAAAGCGUGGGGAGCAAACAGGAUUAGAUACCCGUGUAGUCCCA